CAAAGUUAAUUCCGGUGGCGGAUGGGCAUGCGUCGCAUUAGUUAGUUGGCGGUGUAACGGACCACCAAGACGACGAUGCGUAGGGGUUCUGAGAGGAAGGUCCCCCACACUGGUACUGAGACACGGACCGGACUCCUACGGGAGGCAGCAGUGAGGAAUAUUGGUCAAUGGGCGGGAGCCUGAACCAGCCAAGUCGCGUGAGGGAUGACGGCCCUAUGGGUUGUAAACCUCUUUUGCCGGGGAGCAAAGUGCCGCACGUGUGCGGUUUGGAGAGUACCCGGAGAAAAAGCAUCGGCUAACUCCGUGCCAGCAGCCGCGGUAAUACGGAGGAUGCGAGCGUUAUCCGGAUUUAUUGGGUUUAAAGGGUGCGUAGGCGGACGCUUAAGUCAGCGGUAAAAUUGCGGGGCUCAACCUCGUCGAGCCGUUGAAACUGGGUGCCUUGAGUGGGCGAGAAGUACGCGGAAUGCGUGGUGUAGCGGUGAAAUGCAUAGAUAUCACGCAGAACUCCGAUUGCGAAGGCAGCGUACCGGCGCCCAACUGACGCUGAAGCACGAAGGCGUGGGUAUCGAACAGGAUUAGAUACCCUGGUAGUCCACGCAGUAAACGAUGAGUGCUAGUUGUCCGGGGCGAUUGAGUUCUGG
rnacentral:rRNA from 1 species